rnacentral:misc_RNA from 1 species
UCGUGUUGAGUCCGACGUGGUGAGUGGUCGUGUGGUAAAUUAAGCUCGCGACUAUCACAUAUUUUUGUGAAAAAAUCAUUUAAAAAACCAAAAAAAAAAAAUAAAAAUAUAUAAAAAUCAACAAAAAAAAUUGCAAAAAGUAGCAAAAAUCGAGCAAGUGUAUAAAACUUCUUUUAAGUUUUUCUUUUGUGUAGAUUUUUCUCUUCAACGUUAUUGAAGAGAGCAAUUGAAAGAAGCGUGCAAAGAUAAAUUGUAUCCGACAGAUAAUAAAAUGAAUUCUGGAGGACCCAACUAUCAAAUGGCAUCACUUUAUGUUGGCGAUUUACAUCAGGAUAUCAACGAGGCUGGUUUAUUUGAAAAAUUUUCAACCGCUGGUCCGGUAUUAUCCAUUCGAGUUUGCCGUGAUGUAAUUACACGUCGUUCACUGGGCUAUGCCUAUGUAAAUUUCCAGCAACCAGCUGACGCGGAACGCGCGUUAGAUACGAUGAAUUUUGAUUUAAUUCGUAACAAGCCUAUACGCAUUAUGUGGUCACAGCGGGACCCAUCUUUGCGUCGUUCGGGCGUGGGAAAUGUCUUUAUUAAAAAUCUUGAUAAAAGUAUUGACAAUAAAGCGAUUUAUGACACUUUUUCUGCGUUUGGCAACAUAUUGAGUUGUAAAGUUGCAACCGACGAAAAGGGCAAUUCAAAAGGAUAUGGUUUCGUACAUUUUGAAACCGAAGAAUCAGCUAACACUUCGAUAGAAAAGGUCAAUGGCAUGUUGUUAAAUGCUAAAAAAGUCUACGUAGGUAAAUUCAUUCCACGCAAGGAACGCGAGAAGGAAUUGGGAGAAAAAGCAAAACUGUUUACUAAUGUGUACGUAAAGAAUUUUGGAGAAGAUUUUGAUGACGAGAAGUUGAAGGAGUUAUUUGAGCCUUUCGGAAAAAUAACCAGCUAUAAGGUAAUGGUUAAAGACGAUGGGAAAAGUAAAGGUUUCGGCUUCGUAGCUUAUGAGACCACCGAAGCAGCUGAAGCCGCUGUUGACGCGUUAAAUGGAAAAGAUAUGGGCGAGGGUAAAGUGUUAUAUGUUGCUCGUGCACAGAAGAAAGCUGAACGCCAACAAGAACUGAAGCGCAAGUUCGAAGAAUUAAAGAAGAAACGGCAAGAAUCGGUAUUUGGCGUUAAUUUGUAUGUUAAAAACUUGGAUGACAGUGUAGAUGAUGAGCGUCUACGCAAAGAAUUUUCGAUGUAUGGUACCAUUACAUCUGCCAAGGUUAUGACCGAUGAAGAGGGACGUUCCAAAGGUUUUGGAUUUGUCUGCUUCAUUUCGCCCAAUGAAGCAACCUGUGCCGUCACUGAAGUGAAUGGACGUGUGGUCGGUUCGAAGCCAUUGUAUGUAGCUUUGGCUCAACGUAAAGAAGACCGUAAAGCACAUUUGGCAUCACAAUACAUGCGUCAUAUGUCGGGUAUGCGUAUGCAACAAUUAGGUCAAAUAUUCCAACCAAACGCCGCAGGCGGCUUUUUCGUACCAACCAUGGCGCCAGGGCAACGUUUCUUUGGUCCACAAGUGACCCAACCGAUUCGUAAUACACCAAGAUGGGCACCACAGGUGCGCCCUGCCGCUGGCGUACAAGGUGUCACACAGGCUGGCGCUGCAGCCGCUGCUGGUAGCUUCACAAAUGCCGCCGCCAUGGCAGCAACCGGUAACGCCCAGUUCCGCCCAGCAGCAGCCGCUGCCCGUGGCCAACCGCAGACAGUUCAAGGCGCGCACGCUGCAGCCGCCGCUGCCAACACAAUGCGCAAUACUGGCGCACGCGCUAUCACAGGUCAGCAAACAGUCGCUGCGGGUAAUAUUCCAAUGGCUGGAGCACCAAUUACUGCAGGCGGUGCUCAGCAACGCGCUGCCAACUAUAAAUAUACCGCCAACAUGCGCAAUCCACCUCCACAACCGGUCCAACAACAACCGCAAGUGCAGCCAAUGCACCAGAAGGGUCAAGAGAAGCUAAUUGCUUCUUUAUUGGCUAAUGCCAAGCCACAGGAACAAAAACAAAUUUUGGGUGAACGCUUGUAUCCUAUGAUCGAGCGCAUGCAUCCACUUAUGGCUGGCAAGAUUACCGGAAUGUUAUUAGAGAUAGAGAAUUCCGAAUUGUUGCACAUGAUAGAGGAUCAAGAUGCUUUGAAAGCCAAAGUUGAAGAAGCUGUUGCCGUUUUGCAGGUUCAUCGUGUUGCUGAGCCAACUAAUUAAAAUACCUUUAUGGAAAUCACAUCAUGCUAGCCGAACUAAAAAGUUUCGUAAUUUUAAAUAUGUUAUUCAUACUGCUUCUAGCCUCAACGUCAGAAAACACAGAAAUGGUCCUCAUUAUUCAAUUCAGAACAAAAAACGUCAGUUAAUUACCUUUUCAAUUCAACCAAUCAAAACGCAAGCGUUUUUUAACAUACAAUCAAUAUAACAUCCUAGCGAGUAAUGCAAAGCUGCCAAGUGACGUGUACACAGUAAUUUCAAAACUGUGUAUUAAGAUUAUAUGAAAAUCAAGAACUAAAACUGAAAAUGAAAAAAUCAAAACUUGGAAUAGAAGAAGAAUUGAAACCAAGAAUUCGGAAGGUGGCACGCCGAAAGAAACAAAAGCAAAACUGAAAACCAGCCACACUUGUGGUUUGAAUUUUAUAAUUUCCUAAAAUUGUAAUAGUUUCAUAAUCUCUGGCGCGAUGAGGUAAUUUUAAUAUAUUUUUUUUUUAUAACCACCACCACCAACUACAACAACCAUACUAAACUCAUACAAGCAUUGCAAACAAUACCAAAUUUUCAUAUUUUUCACUUGAAUAAAAAUUUGUUUUUGUCAUUUACUUGAAGCAAAUGCGUUUCAGUGUACAUUUGUAAUGGAUUAUAAUUUGAAAGUUGCUCUAUUUUGUAAUGAAUGCAUUUGGUUGAAUUGAAGAGAGUUUCAUCUUCUAUAUACUUGAGAAGCGAUUGGGCAGGCUUAGGUAAACAAAAGUAAUUAACAUGUAUGUAAGAGAGAAAUAAUUGAAAAAAUCAAACAAAAAAAUUGCAAAAGCGUAUGAAAAAAUGAAAAAUUUGGAGUGUGGUUAUUCAAACAGAUAAAAAAUAUUAAUAUCAACCGAAAAGAACGGCUCAGUUCUGUCAUCCACUCUCUGAAUGUAAUAAAACAAACAAACAACAUGAGAAUAGAAUUGCUUGUAAAAGAAAAUAUUGAAUAGGGCGAAAAAGUAAACGUUCAAUGAUUUUUUGCUACUUUAAACAAAUAUAAUAAAAAUUGAAAAUAUAUAUACGUCAGACACAACCGCUGACAAGCAGAACUUAAAAAUAAAAACAAAAAAAAUCGCAAAAUUAAUAUAAAAACGGUCCUAGCUGACCAGAAAAACACAAUAAAUAUAAUGAAUGAAAUAACUGAAUUAUAAAUAUACAACUUUUAUCAAAUAUAAAAAACAUAGUAUGUGUAAGACCGUUGAUAAAUUUCAAAGUCGAACCGCGGGAAUAUUUUCAAUUGCGCCCGAUCAAAUGUGUGGAUGGGCAUGCAAAAUACAGGGUGGACCAUAAGUCCCUUCAUAUUUGAAUGUGUACGUGAGAGCGAUGUCGAGUUAGGAAAUGCAAGAUUACGGUCGAAGCAAGGAUUUUUCGAUAAUGAAAAUUUAAAAUAGUUUCCGAAAACCUUUGUCAUGAACAACCUGAACUCGUAUUACUGUACCCGAAAAUCGGAACAUCUUUUUAACCGCAAUCCGAAAUUCAAAUAUUGGGUAGUCGAAAAAGUAUUUUCGUACUUCUAAUCAAACUUCAACUUAUUUUUUUUAUAUUGCAAAAAUAAAAGCUUAUUUAUCUAGUUUUUCUCAUUAUUUAGGCAUUAGGACACCUUUUGGUCCACCCUGAAGCAAUGGUAAAAAUUCAGUAAUAAAUCAAUUCCAAUAUUGAACAAUAUUUUAACCGAACAAUAUAAAAAUUUAAUUAUACCUAUCUUGAUCUGGUGAAAUGAGAAUUUAAAUAAAAUAUAAACUUUUGGCAUAAGUA